GGUAAUGCGUGACCAACCUGCCCCAUGCUCCAGAAUAGCUCUUGGAAACGGGUGGUAAUGCUGGAUGCUCCAACUUGACGCAUGUCUUGUUGGGAAAGUGUUUAGUGGCAUGGGAUGGGGUCGCGUCCUAUCAGCUUGUAGGCGGGGUAAUGGCCCACCUAGGCUUCGACGGGUAGCCGGCCUGAGAGGGCGGACGGCCACAUUGGGACUGAGAUACGGCCCAGACUCCUACGGGAGGCAGCAGCC
rnacentral:rRNA from 1 species